UACGAAGGGGGCUAGCGUUGCUCGGAAUCACUGGGCGUAAAGCGCACGUAGGCGGCUUCUUAAGUCAGGGGUGAAAUCCUGGAGCUCAACUCCAGAACUGCCUUUGAUACUGAGGAGCUUGAGUCCGGGAGAGGUGAGUGGAACUGCGAGUGUAGAGGUGAAAUUCGUAGAUAUUCGCAAGAACACCAGUGGCGAAGGCGACUCUUUGGCCUGUAACUGACGCUGAGGCGCGAAAGCGUGGGGAGCGAACAGG
rnacentral:rRNA from 1 species